rnacentral:rRNA from 1 species
GAUGAACGCUGGCGGCGUGCCUAACACAUGCAAGUCGAACGGAGAUUCCGGACGGACGUUUUCGGAUGGAAGCCUGUAAUUCUUAGUGGCGGACGGGUGAGUAACGCGUGGGCAACCUGCCCUAUACAGGGGGAUAGCAGCUGGAAACGGCUGGUAAGACCGCAUAAGCCGGUUAAAUCGCAUGAUUUGAUCGGGAAAUGAGCAAUCAGGUAUAGGAUGGGCCCGCGUCCGAUUAGCCAGUUGGCAGGGUAAAAGCCUACCAAAGCGACGAUCGGUAGCCGGACUGAGAGGUCGGACGGCCACAUUGGGACUGAGACACGGCCCAAACUCCUACGGGAGGCAGCAGUGGGGGAUAUUGCACAAUGGAGGAAACUCUGAUGCAGCGACGCCGCGUGAGUGAAGAAGUAUUUCGGUAUGUAAAGCUCUAUCAGCAGGGAAGAUGAUGACGGUACCUGACUAAGAAGCCCCGGCUAACUACGUG